rnacentral:lncRNA from 1 species
CUCACACUCUAACUGUAUAUUUGUAUGAUAUUUUAAAAUCUCCGAAAUGCUGGGCAACGGCUGUUCACAAUCGUCUUGCACUGGCCUUCUGAUGAAGUGUUAACAAUGCCUAUUGUAAUAUAGACAAAAGACUCUGGGCUGAAUGUAUGUAUAUAGGUUUUAAAGGGUCAGAUGUUUAAGCAGUGGCUUACAAAUCAGUACUUUUCAGAUAGGAGAGUUUCUUUACAUUGCUGUGGCAUCCUAAAAGCUCUCUUCAUGUAAUCUUACUGGACUAGGCCUCCUGGGGAUCAGAGUCCCCAAGAAAGAAAACUUUUUCUUGUAAUAGUAUGAAUCAAGAUACCAGAUUAUCUGGAUUCUUAUUUCCAGUGUUUCAAGUGGAAAAUGUAACUCUUUAUUGUCUGUAAAUCUAACAUUAUUACUUUUCCUCUUAGAAGAAUAUUGUAUUGUUAGAUGUUUGUUGAACUGGUAAUAUCCUUGCAACCGCUGUAAUAUCUUCGUUAGUAAUCUGUAUAAUACCUUGUAUACAAGUAAUGGUAAGAUUGUUAUUAAAUGUAGCUUCAGUCAUUAAGUAACUAUAGCAAAGUAGUACUUCUGUAAUAUUUACAAUGUAUUAAGCCCAUAGUAUAUUUUAUUUCAUUGAUGUAAUUUAACUGUUAUUUAUUCAAGAGAAAACAUUUCAUCCUGUCUAUUGUCCAAAGUUACCUGGAAUCAAAUAAAAUUCUAGAUUAUCAUGAAGAACAUAAAA